rnacentral:lncRNA from 1 species
AUGAGGGAACUGCCUGGUGCUCUGUGUGACCCCAUCUUCCACCAGCUGGUUGAGCUGCUCAGCAACAGCUUCUACUCCUGGGAGAUGGUGGCCAUGGUCUUCCUCAUUGAGAUGCUGGAGUGUGUGGACCUCACCACAGAGCUGCACCACAUCCUGAAAGUCUUCACCACCUAUCUGCAGAGCCAGAAAAUGGGCAUGCAGCAGCUGGUGCUCAGGGACAUCCUGCAGCUCAGCAAGAGGCAGGACACGGCGUCCAGCACUGUGCGGCAGCUCUCCAUCGACCUCUUCUUGGAAAUGUUGAGCUUUGCGGAGGGCCAAGGGAAGAGGAAGAUGCAGAAGGAGGUGUGCAAGAACUUGGCCCUGCUGUAUCUGCAGCUGCACGAUGAGAAAGACAGUGUGGCCAAGGCCUCCCAGAAAGCCCUCCUCAGUGCCGCAUUGUUCCUGUGCUGGAGGUGGCUGGAGCACCUGGUGCAGACAGCGCAGUUCUGGCAGAUCAGCGAGUGCCUGCUGGUCAAGAGGAGGAGGAAGAAUGUGGCACAGGACUACCUGGGCCAGAGCCUGCUCUACCUACGGAGCCCGCAGGACCCCUGCGCCGGGAAGCUGUGAAAUUCAUCA